AGAAAGUUAGUCUAACCAGAAAGACAGCUGGUUUCGACCCAGCAGAUUACAGCCAACCCUGUAACUUUCUU
rnacentral:tRNA from 3 species